rnacentral:lncRNA from 1 species
CCACUGUGUUGUAUUGUCAGACGGAAGAUUCUGAGAUAAUGCACUUGUUCUCGAUUAGGAAUUUUCCAGCAAUGAAAUGCAACCUGAUCUCUUUGAAAGAUACCAGGCAGCAAAGCUCUGCAGAAACAGCUUCCCUGUCCUGAGGCGGCUCCGGCUCUGCAGCCCCCAGGAUACUCCCAGUGGAAGAUUUGCAGUAGAUGGAUGUGCACCCGACUAUCUGCUCGAUCGGGGCUGUGCAGCAGCAGAGGGCAGCAGCUCAACACGAUGCUUCCUCCACUGCAGGCAACUACUUUUCAUCCCCCAUCAGCCUUUCCUACCGCUUUUUGCAGACUCCAGGAAGCAAUGGGGGAGAAUUACUCUCAGAAAUAUCUGCAACUUAGACUCUGCAGAAGGCUGA